AGUGAACGCUGGCGGUAGGCCUAACACAUGCAAGUCGAACGGCAGCACAGUAAGAGCUUGCUCUUACGGGUGGCGAGUGGCGGACGGGUGAGGAAUACAUCGGAAUCUACUUUUUCGUGGGGGAUAACGUAGGGAAACUUACGCUAAUACCGCAUACGACCUACGGGUGAAAGCAGGGGAUCUUCGGACCUUGCGCGAUUGAAUGAGCCGAUGUCGGAUUAGCUAGUUGGCGGGGUAAAGGCCCACCAAGGCGACGAUCCGUAGCUGGUCUGAGAGGAUGAUCAGCCACACUGGAACUGAGACACGGUCCAGCCUCCUACGGGAGGCAGCAGUGGGGAAUAUUGGACCAUGGGCGCAAGCCUGAUCCAGCCAUACCGCGUGGGUGAAGAAGGCCUUCGGGUUGUAAAGCCCUUUUGUUGGGAAAGAAAAGCAGCAGGUUAAUACCCCGCUGUUCUGACGGUACCCAAAGAAUAAGCACCGGCUAACUUCGUG
rnacentral:rRNA from 1 species